UUAAUUGAAGCCAAAUUAUAUAGGCAUCUUAUUGUUAAUAAGAUUAUUGAAUUAUUUAAUUCCAAUUAAA
rnacentral:tRNA from 1 species